GACAGAGGGUGCAAACGUUGCUCGGAAUUACUGGGCGUAAAGCGCGUGUAGGCGGGUCGGCAAGUCAGGUGUGAAAUCCCCAGGCUCAACUUGGGAAUUGCAUUUGAAACUGCCGGUCUCGAGUGAUGGAGAGGAGAGCGGAAUUCCUGGUGUAGAGGUGAAAUUCGUAGAUAUCAGGAGGAACACCGGUGGCGAAGGCGGCUCUCUGGACAUCUACUGACGCUGAGACGCGAAAGCGUGGGGAGCAAACAGG
rnacentral:rRNA from 1 species